rnacentral:misc_RNA from 1 species
GUUCGUUCUGCUCCCGUAAAACCCCACCCUCCCCUUUCUUCUUCAUCUUCGGUGGUCAGGCAACGCCAGCAAGAUCCUUCGGUCACUUUAGCACGUCCGGCGUUCCUCUGAACGAUUGCCAGAAGCUUUAAUAGCAGCGGAGAAUAAGGAGAGAGAGGAGAAUCGCACGAGUAGACCACAACUUCUUGACACUAUUUCAGGCGUUAUGUGGUAGCCAAAUCCAACGAUACUUGUUUCAAUCGACUCCUUAUGAUCCCAACUUUCUUUUGCAACUGACGAAAUUCAAUUUCAUGGCUGGAGGAGAAAGACAGAAAAGGGAGGAGUUUCGGACAUUUGAAGCUUCCAAGGCCGAUUUCGGGUAGUUGGUGAUUGAAAUAGACAAUCGGGCCCGUUAAUCUUCAUCGUCUCGAUGCAAGCUUUGAUUUGGCACUAAUCACACUUCGAUCAGAGAUUGGAUAGAGAAGAUGGUCAAUGGAAGGCCUAAACUAAAUCAAUCGAUAUUAGACGAUAUAAGUGGAGUUUUGAUGAAUCGUCUCUAGACUUGUAAUUAGUGCUCAUCGACAUUCGAGACUAAGUUUUCAAUCAGAUCCGAACACCUGACGAACUGUCCAAGAAGAUGAUUGUUCUCAACAUUUUUAGAAGCUGGUUCCCAAGUGCCAGAAUCAACGUCGGUGAGUCCAAACUCUAACUCAUUGCUUUUAUUUAUUAUUAAAGUUAGUUAAUUAGUAAAUAAAAUUUUCAUAACUUGGUGAGAUUAAAUAAAAUAGAUUUAAUUAAUAAAAAGACAUCAUAAAGGACAUUUAGGAAUACAUUUUUUUUUUU